GGGACUUCUCGGAGGCUCACACUUCAUGUGCCAGACUCCCUUGUUCCAGGACUGUUCUCAGCACCAAGGAGACAGACAGGCAGAGCCACACUCCUUGUGACCAAGAGGGUCACAGCCUGCCUGGGGAGGCAGCUGGUAGACAACCAACCCAGUGUCGCCAUUGCUCUUGGAAUAGGAGUGAGGAGAAAUGAACUCUGCCUGGGACCUUGGAGAAGUUUCCAUGGAGGAAUUGAUGGUUAUCCUGUGUUAUAUAGAAAGAUGGAGACUUUGGAAGUGAAGAUGGACGAUCAUGCUGAGGGAGCGAAGGGUACAGAGGUGCCUUGGCUUUGGUUGGAAAAAAAUUGCGAGACAGACACAGGAGUAAGGCCGAUGAAGUUCUAAGUAUCACUGAUGUAGUCAGUCCGAGAAAAUGUCUUCAGAUCUGCAGCCUUGCUAGUAUUUUUCUCCUAGAAGACAGUUUGCCCUCCCACUUAUAGACAUCGCUGGGCCAUUUCCGGUCUCCUCAGGGACAGCAAGUGUGUUAUUUCCUGCAGAGAAGAGACCAGACCACAAGGCUUCCUGCCAGCAGGAAGUCAGAUCUGGGAAAAGGGAAGGAAAAACUGAACAGAGCGUGCCUAGUUCCUGCCCUCAACUCCUCUAUCAGCUCAUCCCGUGU